rnacentral:rRNA from 1 species
GUCCACGCCGUAAACGAUGCGCACUAGGUAUGAGAAGCUCUCACGCUGAUCGUGCCGAAGCAAAGUGGUAAGUGCGCCGCCUGGGGAGUACGGCCGCAAGGCUAAAACUCAAAGGAAUUGACGGGGGCUCACACAAGCGGUGGAGUAUGUGGAUUAAUUCGAAGCAACGCGAAGAACCUUACCUGGGUUUGACAUGUACGGAUGCCCCUCUUGGAAACAGGAGUAAGCUGCCUUCGGGUGAAACGUACACAGGUGCUGCAUGGCUGUCGU